rnacentral:misc_RNA from 1 species
AGAAGUACAACCCUACCUGGCA